rnacentral:lncRNA from 13 species
UCUCACCUUAUAUUUUACAUUGUAUUUAAAUGUAAAUUCCAGAUCUCACCAGACUGCAUCCUGCCAUAAGGUUCAAAAGCUGCUGUGUCUCUUCUUCUCUGAAGCCCCUUUGAUGUCCCCUGCCUGCAGCCAAGACCAUGACUGGAGUGCAGUGGUGCAAUCUUGGAUUAUGGCAACCUCCGCUUCCGAGGUUCAAGAGAGUCUUCUCCCUCAGCCUCCCGAAUAGCUGGAAUUACAGCUUCAGCAAAGAAUUCCUGUCACAACAUUAA